UUCUCCUACUGAAAGUGACAGUGCAGCCAAGUGCCACUUCUGGGCCAGGGGGACGCUGUGAUCAGAUGAGAGACAGGUUCACACCGCUGCAGUGACCCUCUGGAAAAGGAAGCAACCGGGCAUUUCCUCUGCACAUUGUCUUUCUGCAAAAUUACGAGUAAGGAAUAUUUGUACUGGAUUGAUUUUCCUUCCUUGCAUGCCAGCAAAAACUUGCUAAGUUUAAGAGAAAUGGAGAAAAAGUCUGCAUUAUUACAUUUUAAUGGGCAAUCAUGUUCAAGCAAACCAAAGUGCCUGAUGACUUCCCCAGUCCCACAUCUGCCCAGGGGCCAUAACCACCCACACACCUAGAGGCCUGAGCUGUUCCGGGUCGCCGACUUUAGAACGUCAUGGUCAUCAACCGCUGCGGCUUACGCGGAUUAACUUCUGAACGCCGAGGCCGGUCCCGUUACUUGGGUUCGCGCUGUUUGCUCACGUGAAUCACAUCACACGCGCUGAUGCAUCAGGAAGUGGCUGGAGCCCGCACUCAGUGGCAGAUGUUUCCAUCCCGGAGCUGAGGGGACAACUCUGAUGUACUUUCUCACCUCUUGACAAAACACCUCCGUCUCGUGGGAUUUCCAAAGUCAGCGAGCCACAGAGGGCUAACCUGGCGCGUGGUGAGCAUCCUUCCCUCCCAUCUUCCGGCUCCACGAGAAGGGAACAGAGCGGAGGCAGAACAUUCCAGUAAGGGAGUGACCCAGAAGGCAACGUCUCCAUCCAGCCAAGGCCUUUGCUCUCGCCUUGCACCGGAAGCGUGGCUGCAGACAGUCACUCGUUCAGAGAGGAGGCCCCUCCGGUGGGCACGGCGCGGGACGCGGCUCGGGCUUCCUGGAGCAGGUGUGCAGAGCGGGCCUCUUCUUUCCCGGUUCCGAUCCCGGCCGGAAUGCACUCGGGAGCACAGAGCAGCGGGAAGCUCCCGGCGUUUAUUUAAAGAAGCCGAAAGGUUAAAACCACCCAGUGGUCCGCACAGCGGAAGGACAGGCCCUUUCAAGCAGCCUGGCCCCCCGUGCCACCCGGGCCGUGUGGGUCUUCCAGUUCGUCGGCACACACACUCGUGUCUCCCGACUCCAGGCUACACGGCAGCGUGCUGGGCAGUGAGGCGAAACCAAGGAGCCAGCAGCCCAUGGGGCCGGCUCUGUGCUCACAUCCCUCACACCCUCCGCAUACAGCUGGCGCCUCUCCCCACCGCAGGAGGCGGGCGUUGUCAUUAUCCCUCGCUU